ensembl:lncRNA
CGUCUUGGUGUUUGACACUGUGGACCAUACCGUCUUGGUGUUUGACACUGUGGACCAUACCGUCUUGGUGUUUGACACUGUGGACCAUACCGUCUUGGUGUUUGACACUGUGGACCAGACCGUCUUGGUGUUUGACACUGUGGACCAUACCGUCUUGGUGUUUGACACUGUGGACCAUACCGUCUUGGUGUUUGACACUGUGGACCAUACCGUCUUGGUGUUUGACACUGUGGACCAUACCGUCUUGGUGUUUGACACUGUGGACCAUACCGUCUUGGUGUUUGACACUGUGGACCAUACCGUCUUGGUGUAGAGAUUGAACUGUAUUUGGGAUUACUGGUCAUGCUCUGGAGUGGUUUGUGAACAACUUGUCAAAUAGAACCCAGUGUGUUAAGGCAGAUGGUUCGGACACCGUUGAGUUGUGCUCGGUGUGCCUCAAGGAUCCAUUUUAGGUCCCCUGUUAAUUAUCUGUAUCAACAACAUUGUGAGCCAUAUUGAGACAGCUGAUGUUCAUUUUUAUGUGGAUGACACUGUUCUCUAGUCAGGUGACAGCAGUUUAACACUGUUCUCCAGUCAGGUGACAGCAGUUUAACACUGUUCUCCAGUCAGGUGACAGCAGUUUGACACUGUUCUCCAGUCAGGUGACAGCAGUUUGACACUGUUCUCCAGUCAGGUGACAGCAGUUUGACACUGUUCUCCAGUCAGGUGACAGCAGUUUGACACUGUUCUCCAG